GGAUACGACCAUACUCUGGUGAAAGCACCCC
rnacentral:rRNA from 1 species